rnacentral:hammerhead_ribozyme from 1 species
AUCCAAGCGACGAGUCCCAAAUAGGACGAACCGCGCGUCCUAUAU